GCAGCCUCGGGGACACCAUGGCCUGGACCCCUCUCCUCCUGGGCCUCCUCGCUCACUGCACAGACUUUGUGGCCUCCUAUGAUGUGACUCAGCCGUCCUCAGUGUCUGUGGCCCUGGGACUGACGGCCAGGAGGAUCACUUGUGGGGGAGACGACAUUGAAAGGAAUGUUGUGCACUGGUACCAGCAGACGCCAGGCCUAACCCCCAAGCCAGUCAUCCGUAAUAAUAACGAGCGGCCCUCAGGGGUCCCUGACCGAUUCUCAGGCUCCAACUCAGGGAACACGGCCGCCCUGACCAUCAACGGGGCCCAAUCUGAGGACGAGGCCGACUAUUACUGUCAGGUGUGGGACAGCAGUAACGGUAUUGUCACAGUGACACAGGCAGACAGGGAAGCCCUGAAGACCAGAGAAGACCUGGAAUGA